UCGAAAGAAGAGUCAUUUUUUUUAUCGUCGUUCAUAAUUAUCUCAUGCGAAUGAAAAUAUAAUAGGAAACAUUGUAAAAUAUGUGUAUACACACAAAAGGAGACUCGAUUCUUUAAAAGAUCGGAAGUUAUGUACACGCAAAGACACGUUUCUUUCUUCUUGAGAGAAUUUCGUCGAAUGCGCCGCAACCAUGGCCGGAAUGCAUGUACGUUGCAGCAUACUAUCGUAGUUACCUAUACAGACACAGAUUUUACGGCUACUUCGAAGCUCAUCGUAUUUGGGUUAAAACCACGGCCAUUGUAUUGCCGUGAGAUAGCGAAGAAAGGUGAUGGGUGAAGAAGAUUGAAAAAGGAAGGAGCUCGUGAAACGAAGUUAUAUACCAAGCACUGUGUCUGAAUGGUAACAAAGUAUUUCGGAACACCUGAGAAAUACCUGAUGCGUUCGUGUACCUGCAUGGUGAUGGGAUGGGUAUACGGUCGCUUUGAGAAAUAUAGGAAUUCGCUGAAACGCGGAUUAAUAUCCAGUUCAGGGACGUUCAACGCACAUAACACAUAAACGAAAUACAAAAAUACCUAUGCAAGGUGAUCCGUGCCAAUGACAAUGCUUUACGAUAAUACUUCUACAUCGGGUAGUCUCGUUGAAGAAAUAAAACGUAGUUUACGCUUGGACGUAGGUUACGCUGAAACGAAAAAUCUUGAAUAAAAGAAAGAAUCUUGAAACAGCAGCAUAGAUUGUGAGUUGAGUCCUAGAUGAAGCACAAGUAUCUCGGAAAGGGGUCAAGAUGCGUAUCUAGUUGCGUUAAUGACGAUUCGUAUCGUAUGUACCUCUAACCUAACGCGUACGUUCGAGCGUUUGCCAUGGCACGCUCGAGGACUUGGAUAUUUUAAAAACGGAUGACGAGGUAGUAUUUUCGCGGCGCGGCCCGUUUGAACAGCUGCGCAAAUAGCGAAUCUUCACGUUAGUUUGGGCACUGAUUCUUGUCUCCCAGGUUUUCGUUUCAUUCUCAUUCCUUUUUAUCAAGUUAUCGCCUCGAGGCCAACACGAUGAUAAAGAAGAAAUUUCUCGCGUGAACGAUGAAAAUGAGGAUGAUAGCAAUUGAGAAGCCCUGCACGUUUACAAUUAACGUCGUGUUAUUCCCUCGCAAUGAAUAGAGCGAGAGAGAGAGAGAGAGAGAGAGAGAGAGACAGACAGAAAGAGAUAGAGAGAGAGAGAGAGAGAGAGAGAGGAGAGAAAGAGAGAAAAAUAGAGAGAGAAAAUUCGUGAUGAAGCAGAGUGGCUGUAUAUAUAGUUAUAGCCACGACGUGGCCCUGAUACGAUGUUACAGUCUGUAGGCAGUCAGGAAUCGGGAGGGUCGCCCCACAGCUAACACGUGCAACGCGCACGUGCACUCCGAGAGACCACUCUAGCCUCUGGCGCACAAUCAUCGGAUGCCAAGAUACACUCCACGGAAUAAUUUUCGAGGGGCACUCCCAUACUUUCCUCGUGUGCGGAGCACUAAAAAAAAAAAAAGAAAGAACAGAAAAAAGAAUACAAUAUAUGUACUAUGUACGCUAUCACAGGAAACAAAUUUCAUAAUUUAACGAAGAACUAAUCGUCCUCGUUCAAAUAUUUAUUGUUAUUACGUACAUCAUAUAAAUGGUUAUUCGAAACUAACGAUUUGUCCUACGCAUUGAUGAGACUUAAACGUAGACGCGUUCCAACGCGUCAUUCGAAGAAAAGAUAUUUUCUUAUGUACAUAUUUUCAGCUCGAGCACGUUCCAACAACGUUCGUGCUUAAGGGAAGAGACACGUUGUACCGGGCUUUGCGUUAAGACUUGCAUUUUAAAGAUUCUUAUUGUUGUCCGCUAUAUUCUGACCUGCGAGAUAAAUUUAAUAAACACAAUUACGUUUGAAAUUCGUAUCGAAAUAAUACUAGGAUGAGUAAGAGUUCAAGAAUCUGAUCAGAUUGAUAAAGGAAAACAUGGAGAGGCAAGUAAUUUUAUGUAUAGUUACACAUUGCGUUCGCAUGGUAGGGAAAUUUAUUCGUACGAGUGUACACGCGAGGUGAGUACCUACGUAGGCUAUCGCUGUGGCGCGACAGAACAACGACGACGACGACGACGACGACGACGACGACGACGACGACGACGACGACGACGACGACGACGACGACGACGAAGCCGACGACGACGAUGACGACGAUGACGACGAUGACGACGACGACGACGACGACGACGACGUUGAGGACGAACGCGAUGCGGCAGGAAGCACACGAUUACCACGGACUCUCACUUUGGGGUCGUUCGUUGCACGGUGCAAUGUGCGCAUCGGGCAGCUGCGGAAGAAGAAGAAGAAGAAGAAGAAGAAGAAGAGAGACUUGCUUGAGUUUCACCACUCGCGAUCUCUAGCCGAGCACGACGCUCCGAUCUCGAAAGGGAGGUGAGACGAGCGCGAGCAACAUAACAGCGUCGUCGCCGUCUCGCUAAUUAUAGGCAGUCUACGUUCUUCGACAACUCGAGAUUUCGCGCCUUUUCCUUUCCAUCUUUUUUACGUCCUUUUAUCCUUCCUUUCCUUUCUUUUCCUUAAGAAAUACUUAACGCACACUUCGUUAUAGAUUGGUAAUUAUGAAAGCUGGCUAUUUUAGUCGAAAUUUCAAUAAAAGAAAAAAGCAAGAUAGUAAGAAUGAAUAAUAAUAGAAAAAUGUCAAGAUGGCUAGAAUAAGCUCGUAGAUAUCUCAGUUGCGUGCGACUGUUAUGCUGACGCGAAAUGAGAAAUACGAUGCAAAAGGUCGACCUCGUAUUUGGAGCGACCAUAAAUAGACGCUCGACAUCGAACCUAUCCGUCAUCCUGAUUGAUCGUUCUAAUCUUGUAUUUUUUAAGGCAAGUCUCGUUAAUGCACGAUAUUCGCCACUAGAUAUACCUACUUGUAUAAACCUUCUAACGAUCGGUAAAACGGGAAAUGUCCAUUUUCUGAUCCAACACAUCAACAACGUGACUUAGCAUCUUUCAAUUCAGCAUCUACAUCUAAAAAUGACGUAUCUGGCGCGUCUCAUGAUUUCUACCUUCUUUUAAUGCUAUGAAAACAGUUCGUGAAUAUCCGUCACAAAAAUUAUCACGUGAACAUCGAUUCUAAUCACAUUAAUGAUAGAAUGAACUCACAUUUGUAACAUUUGAUUGUAAACAUCGAUAACAAUAGACAAGGACAAAAAUCAAAAAUACAAUCUGGUGAUCCUUGGCCGCUCGUACUCGUACGCGAUUAAGCGCACACCUGCCAGAACUUUAAUCGAGAAAAGAUAUCUCGAUAAAUAAAACACGUGUAUUUUUAUCAAGUACAUACGUACUUAUUUGUCCUGUCUUAUUCUACGAACAAUCAAAUCUCUAAAAAAAAAAAAAAAAAAAAAAAAAAAAGAAGUCAUUUUAUCCUAGGAGCUCGGAUGUCAAUAUAAAAUACAAGCAAGAUUAAUUAAUUUCAAAAUUACAUUCGUUUUAAGAAAAUAAUAAUUUAUAUUAUUACAAAUUCUAAUUGUUAAUAUACGAACGAAUGUUGAUGUAGAGAUUAAUAAAUCGGAUAAAUACGAUUGAUAAGCUCGGAAUGCAAGAAUAUUCUGAAAAAAAAUGAAAGAGUUCUUAUCGGAAGUUAAACUUAAGAACGAUUGAGUGCGAUUAUGUGAAAUAGGAGACUUCAUGGAAUUUCAGUUCUUAUGUAUGUACUAAGAAUGCACUCACGGAAUUAAGGUUUCCUUAUCUCUCACGAUAAGCUUAUGUCGAUAAACUUAUCCCUUGUUCGUGGAUAUAGAAAGAAUUCGUUCAAGUGCCCAACCAAGUACAGCUGACCGUAACACCUGGAUGUGAUGGCCGAUUUGGCCGAGUCACUUCCUUCGAUGAUUCAUAUAAAUUGUAUAAAGCACAAUCUAGAGUAACAAGAUGUCUCUCGAAUUUUAAUGAAGAUAGAAACUUCGAAGAAAUUUGAUCAAUAUGAAAUGAAAUUAUGCAUUCCUAGGUAAAUCUAUCAUAUAUAUAUAUAUAUAUAUAUAUAUAUAUAAAUAUAUAUAUAUCGUCUAUCUAUGAAUUAUAUUGUACUUCAGUAAGGAUAAACAUUAUCAGUAAUUAUAACACUAUCAGUGCAUUGUUAUAAUUGUUUCAUAACCGAUAAUAUACAAUUGCAUUUAUUUUUAAAACUAUUUAUUAAAAUAGUUUUAAAAAUAUGAUUUCACUUGAAAAUAUGAGUUUAUCUUACGGGACGUAAAAUUCUUGGGCUAACUUCGAUAUCGACUUCAAACAUCUUUUGUGAAAACAACAACGUCGUAAAAGAAAAAUCUUGUGAAUUUUAUAAAAACAGGCCACGUAGGCGACGUGGAGGUUUCUCAUGAAUCAUUCAUAAUACAUGAGAUAAUAGCGGCAAAGUCAGCUGUUGACGAAUGCGUCCGCAGCACAGUCACGCUUUCCUACGUCGAGUUUCGACCGACAAACGAUCCCUCCGAACGUCUCCUCUGCAACUCUUUUCAAAUUGUCAUUGGCUACGUUUCACUUGUAAGAUUAAAGGAAAAAAAAAAAAGAAAAAACAGCUACGCCUUUUUAUUCAAUCCUUCUAUCUUUUAAAUAUUUCAUAUGCUGUCAAAAAAAUUUACACGAAACAAAUGGACGAUUUUACAUAAUCCUAA